rnacentral:rRNA from 1 species
AUUCCAGCUCCAAUAGCGUAUAUUAAAGUUGUUGCAGUUAAAAAGCUCGUAGUUGGAUUUCUGGUAGGAGCGACCGUGCCGAACUUGAUUGUUCGUGUAUUGUGUUGUCUUCAGCCAUCCUCGUGGAGAACUUUUCUAACAUUAACUUGUUGGGAUUGGGACCCGCGUCGUUUACUGUGAAAAAAUUAGAGUGUUUAAAGCAGGCAUUAGCUUGAAUACAUUAGCAUGGAAUAAUAAGAUAGGACUUUGGUACUAUUUUGUUGGUUUGCAUACCAAAUUAAUGAUCAACAGGAACAGUUUGAGGAUAUUCGUAUGAACAUGUCAGAGGUGAAAUUCUUGGAUUUUGAUCAGACGAACUACUGCGAAAGCAUUUAUCAAGGAUGUUUUCAUCA